ACUCGUUUUUGAUAGGCUAUCUUUCCUGUUUCACCCGCUCGCCCACCACUGUAAAUGUAGUUGCCUUGCUUGGCUUCCUUGUGUUUGAUUUCCAUGAUGCUGUCAUCGAAAUUGUGCAAGGUCAAAGGGAGUCCACUUAAGGCAGCAUCUUUAAGAGCCUUUUCGACAUAAAACCCAGUGUAAGCUACAAGUUCUUUCACAGUGGCAGUAACAGUUUGAGAGCCAAAAAUUAGGAUAAAUUGAAAUCCUAGCAAAACUCUUGCUUGGCAUUCAUACUCCUGUCUAGUUAAUUCUUUUGGAGUGUUUAAAAUCCAUUGGAAAAUUUUUUUGAGGCCAGUGCAAAAACCUACCAAUAUUUCGCUGACCAAAGGGCUAAAACCAGAGUUGUUCAAAAGUUCCUCUGCUUUUUCAUAGAAGGCCAAAACACCAUUUUCAUCAAAUGUGACAUAACAGCUUAGACAAACUUUUCGAGCAACUUUCUGUACUUCUAUAAACCAUUGUUUUUUAUUUUGUUUGAGAGCCUCAGCUACUUGGCCAAUUCUUCGUACUAUAGUUUCUGUAGCUCUUGUCGCUUGGUGCAUCAUUGCUGGGUAGAAAUUUACCAGGUAAAGUUGAGAAGCAUUAGGAUGUCCAGUUUGACCAAGCUCAUUACAGAUUACUCUCAUAUCCCCAAGUUGCUUUUGGUGUUCUGGUGACUCUGGAAUCGGAUAGCAGGAGCUGGCAGAAGAACUUCCGGUAAUUGAUCUUCGUUGACAGCCAUCUGCAACACCACGCACAAUGACUUCUAUGUUCUUCUUCAGAAUUGGGUGAUAAACUGACUUCAAACUGGACAGCUGUUGAAGGGUUUCUCGUCCAAGAUUACUUACAUGGUUGUAGUUAUCUGGGCCUAACCAAGAACACACUGUAACAAUGCAGCUUAACAGGUUGUGGGGCUCCACCAAUUUGACUCUUAUUGCUGUUUCUCCAGUAAAGAACUUACUCCACUGCAUCCAUGGGAACGCAUCGAUGUAGUGAUAAACAAGUAAUUUCUCUUUAGGGAACAUUAUUGUUUCCCAUAGAGUUUUUUUGCUAAGUAGCCAUUCCAUAGUGUUUUUGACAUUUGUGUAUGCUGCAACAACACCAUUGUGUUCAGUAAAAGUCAGUGACAAACUUU